AAAAGGUUAUUCAAAGACAUUGAAAUCCUAACUUAGUCAAAGAAAUCCAAUGACACCCCAACCCAACUUCCCCUAAAAUUGGUUUUCCUUUUCUUUCGUGUACUUUCGAUGAAAACUUGAGGGAUGACGUGAUGACGGAGGAAAGUCACGGCGUUUACAGUUGGAGACAGAGAGGGGAAGUUCCGGAAGGAGUGGUGGUCGGUCAGAUGCUUCGUUUUACAGUGGGGGUUGAUUGCUACAAGAUUCGAAUUUUGGAUUGUUAUGCUGAUCCUCUGGGUUGGAAGGAUUAGAUAAUGGAUUCUGCAAAUACUAGGGAUAUUUCCCAGGAAGUUUCAUCAGAAGUGGCUUGUCUUUGUAAGGAUUUGCGGGAUUUGGAUAAGUUGUACUCUUCAAUUAUUGAACAGGGGACAGGAUUAAGUGGACGUGGAAAAGAACAUUUCUCUGUUGCCAUAGAUUCGAUUUGUUGCGGAAGGCAGGCCGAUUGCUCAAUGUUUGGCUGAAAUUUGACCAUAAAGUUUCUGCAACUUGAACUUUACCUUACUGAAAGCCUGCUGAAAAUGAGAGAAUGGC